rnacentral:lncRNA from 1 species
UCCAAAUACAUUUGAAUUUCAACAUAUGGUUGUUCAGAUACAUUUAUGUAACACCUCUUACCCAGUCCGAUCACUGGACCCAAGUUACAAGAUGCUACAGUAAAAUACAAGAACAUUCACAUGCAAAGUUUAACAAGAGAUUUGUUUUAAAAUCUUUAAAACUAUUCUAAACACAUUUAAAAGCAAUAAUCAAUAAAUUCAAGUAUGUUUAAGAUUGAAUUGGAAGAAUUUUAAAACAUAACGUGCCAAGGGUUAUCCGUUAAAAUAGGUUUUGCCAAAUGACUAUCUGCCGAAUGACUAAUUGCCAAAGAUGAUACACAAAUCAGUUCACCAAAUUUCUCGCAUUUACUUCGCAAGCCAUGACCACUUGCUUCUAGACGUGUCCACCAUGUUGGUUCGCCUCUGGACAAUAUGCCAUAUCAACUUGAUUUCACAUAGUCUGCAUAUUAAGUCAUGCUUGGAUCAUCUACCAUGAAUGCUCACGCAAUUACUACCCACGACUUUGAACAUACUUGUAAUAUCCAUUUAACAACCUGUAUUUAUAAAGUCCGCCAUGAAACCAAAAAUAACUUUACACAUUUAAGGCAUGCAUUCAUUUCCAUUCAAGCAACUAAUUAUCAAUGUCAUACACAAGAACAAGCAUUAUCAACAUAUAUAUAUAUAAAUACCUAUAAAUUUAUAUCAUCAAGUAUUCACAUCCAAUUUCUCAAAAUAGACUUGUAUACAAUUUAAACUUAUAUACAUGCCAUUUGACUGAGUGUAGGAUUAAAAGUAAAAUCUAUCAAAACAAGAGCUAGAUAGUGUGAGUUGCAAAUUGAUCCGACUGCCGAGUUCAACAAAAUAUAAGUACAUGGAACAGGGAGUUAAAUAGAGUAAGCAUUAAACCUGUUUAGUAACUUCAUAGGUUUAAAACAUUAAGACUCACCUCAUAAAACAUUAAUACAUAAAACUUAACUAAUGUGCACUAUCCCGUCAACACAUCUCAAAUACAUAUAAGGUGAGCUUAUUACAUUUAGUCACUUAACAUAUUCUAAUUAUUUUAUACCCUUUAGUCCCAAGUCAUUCCAAUAAACAUUCAUAUCUUAUCCCAAUAUAUACAAACAUUAUCAUCAAUAUUUCCAUUACAGAAACCAUUUAGCCCGUUGAACGAUUAUGAACAAAAAUGGAUACGCGGGUAACCAACCGAAACAUGCUAGUUUGCUCAUAAGAGCUAUUCCAUCCAAUAACAUGCCAAUUUGCUCAUAAGAGCUAUUCCAUCCAAUAACAUGCUAGUUUGAUCAUAAGAGCUAUUCCAUCCGAUAACAUGCCAAUUUGCUCAUAAGAGUUAUUCCAUCCGUUAACACGUCAAUUUGCUUAUAAGAGCUAUAAUUGAAAAUCCGUAACAAAUGCUGGAUUCCAAUAACAUCAGUGAACUUUCUUCAUCUUCUUCACAACUUUUUUACAACCCGUACAAUGCGCAAUAGCCCUAUUGGCAUGCCAAUUAUAUCCUUUAUUCAUUUGGGCUCUAUACACAUAUCUGAACAUUCCAUUUUACCAUUCAAUGCCUUCCUCACCUUAUGUACAAUUUGCUAACAUUUUCUAUAUACAUUCAAAUUUAAACAUUUCAUAAUUAAACACAACAGUUACCAUAUGAACUUACUCGGUACAACAAAAGUAGAAUAUCAAAGAUUAAUCCGUGAUAUUUCCUUUUCCUCUGUUAUCUACUGGUUGAUUUGGUUCUUGAUUUAUACGUUAACACAUUCAAUUUAUUAAUGACAACUUUUCAAACUUUAACAAUUUUGAAAUCAGACAUACAUGUUAGCUAAAUCAAGAUAAAACGAUCUCAAAAACAUAAAUUUCAAGAAGAAUAGGAUUUAAAAACACUUACAUGCAAAAUUGAUUGUUCAAGACUACCUAGAGCUUUUCUUUCUUCUCUAAUGGAGAUGGUUUCGGUG